AUGUGCACUUUGGUGAUCCCGGAGAGAUGGAGAGAACAGAUUAUCUCGGUCCAAGGAGCUGGGUGUGUCCUGUGGGACAGUCAGGAAGAGGAGCCUGCUUCUGAAGUCUGCUUUCCUGAGUACACUGUAGCUGUCUUCAGAUGCACCAGAAGAGGGCAUCAGAUCUCAUUGUCUUUGGAAGAGCAGUCGGUGCUCUUAACCACUGAGCCAUCUCUCCAGCCCACGUAUAGUCUGAGCCUUACUUAUCCCAGCAUGUUGCUAACCUAUGGAGGCCAAGAUGGCUAA
ensembl:processed_transcript